rnacentral:rRNA from 1 species
GACGAACGCUGGCGGCGUGCUUAACACAUGCAAGUGGAGCGACGAACCGGGGCUUGCCCCGGGGCAGAGCCGCGAACGGGUGAGUAACACGUGGGUAACCCACCCCGAUGACCGGGACAACCCGAGGAAACUCGGGCUAAUACCGGAUGUGCUCCUUGACCAUGAGGUCAAGGCGUAAAGAUAGCUUCGGCCUUCGCAUCGGGACGGGCCCGCGGCCCAUUAGCUUGUUGGUGGGGUAACGGCCUACCAAGGCGACGAUGGGUAGCUGGUCUGAGAUGCCGAUCAGCCACACUGGGACUGGGACACGGCCCAGACUCCUACGGGGGGCAGCAGUGGGGAAUCUUGCGCAAUGCGCGAAAGCGUGACGCAGCAACGCCGCGUGGGGGAAGAAGGCCUUCGGGUUGUAAACCCCUUUCAGUUGGGACGAAGCUUCGCCGGUGAAUAGCCGGCUGGAGUGACGGUACCUUCACAAGAAGCCCCGGCUAACUACGUGCCAGCCGCCGCCGUAACAC